AUUGAACGCUGGCGGCAGGCCUAACACAUGCAAGUCGAACGGUAACAGGAAGCAGCUUGCUGCUUCGCUGACGAGUGGCGGACGGGUGAGUAAUGUCUGGGAAACUGCCUGAUGGAGGGGGAUAACUACUGGAAACGGUAGCUAAUACCGCAUAACGUCGCAAGACCAAAGAGGGGGACCUUCGGGCCUCUUGCCAUCGGAUGUGCCCAGAUGGGAUUAGCUAGUAGGUGGGGUAACGGCUCGCCUAGGCGACGAUCCCUAGCUGGUCUGAGAGGAUGACCAGCCACACUGGAACUGAGACACGGUCCAGACUCCUACGGGAGGCAGCAGUGGGGAAUAUUGCACAAUGGGCGCAAGCCUGACGCAGCCAUGCCGCGUGUAUGAAGAAGGCCUUCGGGUUGUAAAGUACUUUCAGCGGGGAGGAAGGCGAUAAGGUUAAUAACCUUGUCGAUUGACGUUACCCGCAGAAGAAGCACCGGCUAACUCCGUGCCAGCCGCCGCCGUAA
rnacentral:rRNA from 1 species